AGUGUGGCUAGGGUAGCUCCCGAAUAGCAGAAACGCCUAUCUGCUUGCCACGCUUUUAUUAUAGGCG
rnacentral:sRNA from 1 species